AGAGCGAACGCUGGCGGCAGGCUUAACACAUGCAAGUCGAGCGGGCGUAGCAAUACGUCAGCGGCAGACGGGUGAGUAACGCGUGGGAACGUACCUUUUGGUUCGGAACAACCCAGGGAAACUUGGGCUAAUACCGGAUAAGCCCUUACGGGGAAAGAUUUAUCGCCGAAAGAUCGGCCCGCGUCUGAUUAGCUAGUUGGUGAGGUAAUGGCUCACCAAGGCGACGAUCAGUAGCUGGUCUGAGAGGAUGAUCAGCCACAUUGGGACUGAGACACGGCCCAAACUCCUACGGGAGGCAGCAGUGGGGAAUAUUGGACAAUGGGCGCAAGCCUGAUCCAGCCAUGCCGCGUGAGUGAUGAAGGCCCUAGGGUUGUAAAGCUCUUUUGUGCGGGAAGAUAAGUGACGGUACCGCAAGAAUAACGCCCGGCUAACUUCGCGCCAGCAGCCGC
rnacentral:rRNA from 1 species